UUGCUCUAAUGUUGUUAUUGUGUGAGUGUGCCAGCCGAAACGCUCGGAUGAGACAGUCUGACAAUAACCACAGUAGAGCAAGAGGCGUCAGUGAAGCAGCUCAGGGCUGCAGGGAUCUGUCACAGAGUGCAGGAGCAGGACUCACUCCAAGGUUAACGCUGCUGAGAUUGGCUUGUUGGUGGACGUAUAGUGUAGUAGGGCUGGGAGAAAACAACAAUUGUAAGCAAAGACUGAUGGAGUGCUUUAAUGGACUCUCCCCUGUGGGACAGUGCUGGGAAAAAGUGGAAAGAGCUGCUUCAUGGGGGGACAGAGUAAAGAGUCUGCUGCAGAGAAUUCACAAUGAUCCAUUAGUUUGUAGAAUCUCUCAUUGAUACAACUACUUCCUGUUUAAGGUCAUGAAAAAAGCAGCACCCUGGUGCUUUAAUCUCCCAAUGACGUACAUGCACCAAUACUCCAAAAUAAAAGAACUCCCUCAAUUUUCACUCCCAC